UACGGAGGGGGCUAGCGUUGUUCGGAAUUACUGGGCGUAAAGCGCACGUAGGCGGCUUUGCAAGUCAGAGGUGAAAGCCCGGGGCUCAACCCCGGAAUUGCCUUUGAGACUGCAUCGCUAGAAUUGUGGAGAGGUAAGUGGAAUUCCGAGUGUAGAGGUGAAAUUCGUAGAUAUUCGGAAGAACACCAGUGGCGAAGGCGACUUACUGGACACAUACUGACGCUGAGGUGCGAAAGCGUGGGGAGCAAACAGG
rnacentral:rRNA from 1 species